rnacentral:rRNA from 1 species
AGAGUUUGAUCCUGGGUCAGAAUGAACGCUGGCGGCGUGCCUAACACAUGCAAGUCGUACGAGAAAGGGGCUUCGGCCCUGAGUAGAGUGGCGCACGGGUGAGUAACGCGUGGGUAAUCUACCCUUGGAUUUGGGAUAACUCUGCGAAAGUGGAGCUAAUACCGGAUAGUCUGGCUUUAAUUGAUAAGUCGGUAAAGGAUGCCUCUGCAUAUGCAUUCGUCCGAGGAUGAGCCCGCGUCUCAUUAGCUAGUUGGUAGGGUAAUGGCCUACCAAGGCAACGAUGAGUAGCUGGUCUGAGAGGAUGAUCAGCCACACUGGAACUGAAACACGGUCCAGACUCCUACGGGAGGCAGCAGUGGGGAAUAUUGCGCAAUGGGCGAAAGCCUGACGCAGCAACGCCGUGUGAGGGAUGAAGGCUUUCGGGUCGUAAACCUCUGUCGGAAGGGAAGAACGGGCAUUGGUCUAAUAGGCCUUUGUUUUGACGGUACCUUUAGAGGAAGCACCGGCUAACUCCGUGCCAGCAGCCGCGGUAAUACGGGGGGUGCAAGCGUUGUUCGGAAUCAUUGGGCGUAAAGAGCGUGUAGGCGGCUUAACAAGUCAGAUGUGAAAUCCCUGGGCUUAACCCAGGAAGUGCAUUUGAAACUGUUUGGCUUGAGUAAGGGAGAGGAAAGUGGAAUUCCUGGUGUAGAGGUGAAAUUCGUAGAUAUCAGGAGGAACACCGGUGGCGAAGGCGACUUUCUGGCCCUAUACUGACGCUGAGACGCGAAAGCGUGGGUAGCAAACAGGAUUAGAUACCCUGGUAGUCCACGCUGUAAACGAUGUUCACUAGGUGUUGGGGGUAUUGACCCUUUCAGUGCCGCAGCUAACGCAUUAAGUGAACCGCCUGGGGACUACGGUCGCAAGACUAAAACUCAAAGGAAUUGACGG